rnacentral:misc_RNA from 1 species
AACAGGAAAAUUUGUUAGGAAUUAAGCUGCGGCAUAUAAAUUUGAAACUAAAGAAAAAUGCAGUAAUUCUUUACAUAUAAAGAUCCUUCAAUCAAAAGUAUACUUGACACAAUAGACACCAACAGGUCCAACACUACAUGGAAAUAAGCAUGCAAAGAGGCAUGGCUAUGGAAUCAAAGUUGCCCAUUUUCUCAGUGUAACAAAAGAAAACAUAUCAAGAAUUUAGCUGGGAGACCAUACUGACGCUAAGGCAUGUUCCUUCUUGUUGUUUUACAUAUCUUUUGGAACUUAAGACCAGCAGAUUCUAGGCAUCAUAUUCAUAUCAAU